UUUGUGCAGCAGCCUUAUAUGUAUCAAGAUGCAUUUUAUUAAGUCUUCAUGGGUAUCUGGGACCUGGUAGAGUUAGUGGGACUUGGGAGUAGGAAUGGGAGAAAGGGCCAUCAUAAUCUUACUAUGCAGACUGUAUUUCCAGAAACCUGCUCAGCCAGCUCCUGAUGGAGAACACAUGUAGGAAGAAGUUGGUCCCACUGAAGCAGGAGAACAAGGAGGUACAUCUUGAUUGUGCACUGAACCAGAAAUAUUUGGUUGACUUCAACAAGAAAGAUAAAGACCAGCAACGGCCUGAACCAGCAUUAUCAGGUCUCAGAAAGUGAAAGAGAGCUGGAAUUGGACACACCCCAGUAAGAGAGCUUUUUGAAGAAUAAGUUGCUUUCUCAGGAGUCCCUGAUGACCAACAUCCUGAAUGAAAACAGCACUUGAGAGACAACUUGUGGGACCGCCUUUCAUUAUGUGUGCUAGAGGAGAAACAGCAAUAUGUCUGUGC